rnacentral:rRNA from 1 species
UACGUAGGGGGCAAGCGUUGUCCGGAUUUAUUGGGCGUAAAGAGCGUGUAGGCGGCUAGAUAGGUCCGUUGUGAAAACUCGAGGCUCAACCUCGAGACGCCGGUGGAAACCAUCUAGCUAGAGUCCGGAAGAGGAGAGUGGAAUUCCUGGUGUAGCGGUGAAAUGCGCAGAUAUCAGGAAGAACACCUGUGGCGAAGGCGGCUCUCUGGUACGUGACUGACGCUGAGACGCGAAAGCGUGGGGAGCGAACAGG